UGGGGAAUAUUGGACAAUGGGCGAAAGCCUGAUCCAGCGACGCCGCGUGUGUGAAGAAGGCCUGCGGGUUGUAAAGCACUUUCGAUGGGAACGAAAUGUGCCGGGCUAAUACCCCGGCAAGCUGACGUUACUCAAUGAAGAAGCACCGGCUAACUCUGUGCCAGCAGCCGCGGUAAUACAGAGGGUGCGAGCGUUAAUCGGAAUUACUGGGCGUAAAGCGCACGUAGGUGGCGACGUAAGUCGGGUGUGAAAGCCCCGGGCUCAACCUGGGAAUUGCAUUCGAGACUGUGUUGCUGGAGUACGGAAGAGGAAGGCGGAAUUCCCGGUGUAGCGGUGAAAUGCGUAGAUAUCGGGAGGAACAUCAGUGGCGAAGGCGGCCUUCUGGUCCAGUACUGACACUCAAGUGCGAAAGCGUGGGGAGCAAACAGG
rnacentral:rRNA from 1 species